rnacentral:rRNA from 1 species
AGCUUGCUCUUAUGAAGUUAGCGGCGGACGGGUGAGUAACACGUGGGUAACCUGCCCAUAAGACUGGGAUAACUCCGGGAAACCGGGGCUAAUACCGGAUAACAUUUUGAACCGCAUGGUUCGAAAUUGAAAGGCGGCUUCGGCUGUCACUUAUGGAUGGACCCGCGUCGCAUUAGCUAGUUGGUGAGGUAACGGCUCACCAAGGCAACGAUGCGUAGCCGACCUGAGAGGGUGAUCGGCCACACUGGGACUGAGACACGGCCCAGACUCCUACGGGAGGCAGCAGUAGGGAAUCUUCCGCAAUGGACGAAAGUCUGACGGAGCAACGCCGCGUGAGUGAUGAAGGCUUUCGGGUCGUAAAACUCUGUUGUUAGGGAAGAACAAGUGCUAGUUGAAUAAGCUGGCACCUUGACGGUACCUAACCAGAAAGCCACGGCUAACUACGUGCCAGCAGCCGCGGUAAUACGUAGGUGGCAAGCGUUAUCCGGAAUUAUUGGGCGUAAAGCGCGCGCAGGUGGUUUCUUAAGUCUGAUGUGAAAGCCCACGGCUCAACCGUGGAGGGUCAUUGGAAACUGGGAGACUUGAGUGC